UACAGAGGGUGCGAGCGUUAAUCGGAAUUAUUGGGCGUAAAGGGCAUGUAGGUGGUUUUAAAAGUUUGAUGUGAAAUCCCCGGGCUUAACCUGGGAAUUGCGUUGAAUACUGUAAGACUAGAGUCGGACAGAGGGUAGUGGAAUUUCCGGUGUAGCGGUGAAAUGCGUAGAGAUCGGAAAGAACACCAGUGGCGAAGGCGGCUACCUGGGUCCAGACUGACACUGAGGUGCGAAAGCGUGGGGAGCAAACAGG
rnacentral:rRNA from 1 species